UGGUGCCACAGGAUUUUUUUUCCUGAGCAUAAAACAAGCUUAGAGAAGCAGCAGGAGCGCCGCAGUGGGGCAACAUACAGUGGGGCUUUACUGAAUCUAAUGAAGGGUUGGCACGGGUCGGCUAUUUGAGGCUGGCCCGGGGAACACUCGGGCUAGUCUGUUCAAUAGCACUCGAUAGGAUGCGAGGCCACUUGGAGAGAGACAUGCUGUCCUCCAGGCUGAGGUAUGUGCACACGGAACACAAGGCGAACGCGGGUGUUUUUCCGACCGACGUCCGUCUCGCCCUUCCUCAGCUCGAUGUCGGCGUUCCUGAGCUUCAGGAUCCCAGCACAGUCGAUUCUCGGGAUCUCGAGGACUUUGGUGCCGUGGAUGACCUUCUCGUAGCUGGUGGUCGUAACUGUCUUGCCAGUGAUGCGG